rnacentral:rRNA from 1 species
AGUGAACGCUGGCGGCAGGCCUAACACAUGCAAGUCGAGCGGCAGCGCGGGGGCAACCCUGGCGGCGAGCGGCGGACGGGUGAGGAAUUCGUCGGAAUCUGCCUUUUUGUGGGGGAUAACGUAGGGAAACUUACGCUAAUACCGCAUACGUCCUACGGGAGAAAGUGGGGGACCGCAAGGCCUCACGCAGAAAGAUGAGCCGACGACCGAUUAGCUAGUUGGUGGGGUAAAGGCCCACCAAGGCGACGAUCGGUAGCUGGUCUGAGAGGAUGAUCAGCCACACUGGGACUGAGACACGGCCCAGACUCCUACGGGAGGCGGCAGUGGGGAAUAUUGGACAAUGGGCGCAAGCCUGAUCCAGCCAUGCCGCGUGUGUGAAGAAGGCCUUCGGGUUGUAAAGCACUUUUGUCCGGAAAGAAAUCCCUGGAGCUAAUACCUUCGGGGGAUGACGGUACCGGAAGAAUAAGCACCGGCUAACUUCGUG